GGUUCGAUACCGGAGAGGGAGCCUGAGAAACGGCUACCACAUCCGAGGAAGGCAGCAGGCACGCAAAUUACCCACUCCCGGCUCGGGGAGGUAGUGACGAAAAAUAACAAUACGAGACUCAUCCGAGGCUUCGUAAUUGGAAUGGGUACACUUUAAAUCCUUUAACGAGGAUCUAUUGGAGGGCAAGUCUGGUGCCAGCAGCCGCGGUAAUUCCAGCUCCAAUAGCGUAUAUUAAAGUUGCUGCGGUUAAAAAGCUCGUAGUUGGAUCUCAGUCUCGGUCGGACGGUCCACUUCACGGUGGUACUGUUCGAAUCGGACAUUUGGCCGCCUUUCUCAGUAUGCUCUUCACUGAGUGUAUUGGGAGAGUGGCACGUUUACUUUGAAAAAAUUAGAGUGCUCAAAGCAGGCAAUUGCCUGAAUCUUCGUGCAUGGAAUGAUGGAAUAGGGCCUCGGUUCUAUUUUGUUGGUUUCCGGAACUCGAGGUAAUGAUUAAGAGGGACGGACGGGGGCAUUCGUAUUGCGACGUUAGAGGUGAAAUUCUUAGAUCGUCGCAAGACGAACUACUGCGAAAGCAUUUGCCAAGAAUGUUUUCAUUAAUCAAGAACGAAAGUCAGAGGUUCGAAGGCGAUCAGAUACCGCCCUAGUUCUGACCUUAAACGAUGCUAUCUGGCGAUCCGUCGGUGUUAAUUCCAAUGACCCGACGGGCAGCUUCCGGGAAACCAAAGCGUUCAAGUUCCGGGGGAAGUAUGGUUGCAAAACUGGAACUUAAAGGAAUUGACGGAAGGGCACCACCAGGAGUGGAGCCUGUGGCUUAAUUUGACCCAACACGGGAAAUCUCACCAGGCCCGGACACUGGCAGGAUUGACAGAUUGAUAGCUCUUUCUUGAUUCAGUGGGUGGUGGUGCAUGGCCGUUCUUAGUUGGUGGAGUGAUUUGUCUGGUUAAUUCCGAUAACGAACGAGACCCCGUCCUACUUACUAGACUGAGGAUUCUUUUGUCCUCAGAAUCUUCUUAGAGGGACAACUGGCGUUUAUCUAGCUACAUGAAAUGGGGCAAUAACAGGUCUGUGAUGCCCUUAGAUGUUCUGGGCCGCACACGCGCUACACUGAAGGGAUCAUCGUGUUUGUCCUAGCCUGAAAAAGGCCGGGAAAUCCGUUGAAAUCUCUUCGUGCUAGGGAUUGAGGCUUGCAAUUUUUUCUCAUGAACGAGGAAUUCCCAGUAAGUGCGAGUCAUAAGCUCGCGCUGAUUACGUCCCUGCCCUUUGUACACACCGCCCGUCGCUACUACCGAUUGGAUGAUUUAGUGAGGCCUUCGGACUGGCUGCUAGUGGGGCACUUGUGUCCUGCUGGUGGAUCGGGAAGAUGUUCAAACUGUAUCAUCUAGAGGAAGUAAAAGUCGUAACAAGGUU
rnacentral:rRNA from 1 species